rnacentral:tRNA from 3 species
GGGCUCUUAGCUCAGCUGGUUAGAGCGCGGCGUUGACAUCGCCGAGGUCAGUGGUUCGAGCCCACUAGAGCCCA